UACGGGGGGGGCAAGCGUUGUUCGGAAUUACUGGGCGUAAAGGGCUCGUAGGCGGCCAACUAAGUCGGAUGUGAAAUCCCCAGGCUUAACCUGGGAACUGCAUCCGAUACUGGAUGGCUUGAAUCCGGGAGAGGGAUGCGGAAUUCCAGGUGUAGCGGUGAAAUGCGCAGAUAUCAGGAAGAACACCCGUGGCUAAGGCGGCUCUCUAGUACGGUACUGACGCUGAGACGCGAAAGCGUGGGGAGCGAACAGG
rnacentral:rRNA from 1 species